AAAGAAUUAGUUAAAUCAUAACCUUGGAUUGUCAGACCAAAAUUAUCGGCUAAUAUCCGGUAUUCUUUA
rnacentral:tRNA from 1 species